rnacentral:rRNA from 1 species
GACGAACGCUGGCGGUGUGCUUAACACAUGCAAGUCGAGCGGUAAGGCCCUUUCGGGGGUACACGAGCGGCGAACGGGUGAGUAACACGUGGGUGACCUGCCCUCAGCUCUGGGAUAAGCCUGGGAAACCGGGUCUAAUACUGGAUAUGACUCCAUGACGCAUGUUGUGGGGUGGAAAGCCUUGUGCGGCUGAGGAUGGGCCCGCGGCCUAUCAGCUUGUUGGUGGGGUGAGGCCUACCAAGGCGACGACGGGUAGCCGGCCUGAGAGGGCGACCGGCCACACUGGGACUGAGACACGGCCCAGACUCCUACGGGAGGCAGCAGUGGGGAAUCUUGCGCAAUGGGCGAAAGCCUGACGCAGCGACGCCGCGUGAGGGAUGACGGCCU